CUUCCCGCACCUUCCCUUCCCAUUUUCUAUAGACUAAACCCACAUGUCACCUCAUGUGAGAGCUGCAGAUAUCCUUACAGGUGUUGGCUCAGAGAAGAAUUUGCUAAUAAAUAUUAUUCUGUUAAUUAUAUAUCUACCACGAGUUUUCCUAAAAUACCAGAUGCUGUCAUGUAAACACCACAGUUAUCUAGAUAGGUUAUCUCACACCCUGCCUCCCCCUCUUUCCCAUUUGUCUCCAUCUUGUGAUGCCCCACAUGCCCAUGGAUGCUUGGGACAGCACAGCUCUGGAGCUGAAAGGUAGAAGGGGAGCUACUGGGUGCAACUCAGAAAAGAAAUGAUGCAACUCUUAGAAAUUAAUGAUGAUGUAGUAGCAAGUAGGGCAAGAUUGUUUUGAAACAGGAAUUAAUUAUUAUUGCAUACUAAGCUGGAUAUGCAUCCAGGUUGAGACGCACGGAGUGGGUGGGCUGCACUCAGCUGGGAGGAGCGGGGCAGGCAGCCAGCCCCAGACAAUGUGUGUGUUUGUGUGCCUGGUGGCAAGCAAAUCCAUCACCCCCUUCGGAGAGUACUGCAAAUGGGAGUGGGGUCUGCCAGAUGGCAGACAUCCGGAAAGGCACAAGGAAAUAGCACAGCGUGACUGCAUCGUGCGUGGCAGCGAGCACUCUGGGGCUGUCCACAGAUGGAAAUGUGCAAAUCACAGCCCUGGGCAGAGCUCAGGCAACACUGACAAAGUCUGACCCCAACUCCCCAGACUCCUCUGAGAAACUGAAAAAUCGGGAUGACAGUCCAGAUCAAUCUCAUCUUCUAAGGUUGUCCAGAUCUGGAGGAAAUGGCAUGCCUAGAUGUGGCUGAGCUGAUCUUGGUGCAGGGCACACAGAAGGGCUGUAGGAAGACAAACUGAUUGACAGCUCAUUAGUUCUGGAGCUAAUUAGAGUCUGGAUUAUAAUAUGAAGCGUUUUUCUCUCUAUAAACCUGUCUAUGCACUAGAAAGAAUAAAAUUCCAAAAUGAGAAAGCACAAGGAAUGCAAGUAUGUUCCUUUUUCCACCCCCAGCCUCCUUUGCUAGUCACUCUCCCUCAGCAGCCACAGGAUAAGGUAUCCUAGAGCAGCUGAAUGCCAAUGUGGGAUAGGGAGGGGGAACUUUUAUGUAGCUGUUUUCUCAGUUGCAUCAUGCUACUGCUCCCAAAAAUGGAAUUCCAUGAAAUGAAGACAAGAAUGACUGGAAGAAAGCUUUUUCUUUAUUUAUUUAUUUUUUAAUUUGGUUUUAGUUUGUUCUGAGUUUUUCAUUGUGGGUUUUGGUUUUUUUUUUUCUGUACAGCAUACAGUCUGUAUUUAACUAAGUUUCUUGCUUCUUUACAAAACUUUUUUGUCUUUUUUUCCCUCUAAAGGCAGGCUGAGGAAAUAUCAACAUGGGAUUCAUGCCUGUGUCCUCCUCCCCUGCCAGGCCUGACUCAGUUCAGCACAAAGAUGAAGCAUCUCAGCUCAACUUCUUACAGUAUGAACUUAAAGAAGCUGCUGCUGGAUAUGCAUUAUGAUGCUCAAGCCACACCUUAGGUUUGCCAUCAACCAAGUGCCUUCACCUCCCAGGCCCGCUACAAAGCCUCUCUUUUUCUCAGCACUGACGGAGGGUUUCCUCUCUGUGCAAAAGCUUGAAUUGCUCACGUAGCAAACACAUCCUCCAUGGAACCAGCAGCGUGGGGAGAGAUGAAAUGGGCCUCUGGGAGCUCAGGACUGAACCAAGCCUGGAUGUCUGCCUGUGUGUGUUGGCACACAGGACACCUCGCUCCAUCCAGCUGGGGUCCAACACCUGUGAACUGGUAUGUGGCUUUACUAAAAAUGAAGAAAGAGCCAAAAGGAUUCUACCUUUAAACAUGCCAUGGUUGGAACACAGUGGGAUUAAGGAGAAAAAGAUAUAAAUUUUCCUUUUUCAAAGACAUUUCUUUACUAUCUAUUGGUAGCAAGUGCUUCCAUCAACACUGAGACAGCUCCCCAACCUAACCUAUCAAUGGUCCACUUACUGCAUAGAAUAAAUACAUCCUCCUUUCUGAGGUAAUUGGAUGUAUUAAUAAAGCAAACAACAACCAAAUCAUAGAAGUGAGCUCAAAACACUGCUCCUGGCUUGGUUUCUGCUGGGGCCACACUGUAGAUGUGAUGAACUCAGUCCCUUUCCCUUGGUUUUUCAUCUGCUGAGAACAUGUCUUGGGGUGCCAGAAAUGCCAAAGAAGCUGUUUAAGUCUUCCUUGAAGGCUGCAUCCCAAAAUAAACCCCCUGUCUUCAGGAGAACAUUACUCACUGCUGUUGAGGGAGAUUUUAGGUCAUUAAGAUUCAAUGAGUAAUAUGUUUGAAAAUGCAAUUUAGAAGUUUUUCAAUCAUUCAUGAAAACCCUUUCGAUGCAGAAUAAAGCUUGAUAAUGUUUGUGAUUGUGCCUUGCCCUGAUGAAAGAUCUGAAUGGAAACUUGUACAGUAGGUAAUAUUUAUUCUGGCAGUGUGUCAGUAGGCAAUGUCUACUGCUUUUAUUGCUUUGUGGAAUAAAAGUUUUGAAUUUUG